CGACUGUGAUGGUCAAAUUGGUUAGAAGGCACUUGUAAUGCUUUACCGACUAGAAUCCAAUUCCGUCAGAUCCCCCGACGCGGCGCCCAGUGCGAAUACCGCGGUGGUCCCCUAUCCACUCGGGUAACCAGUGAUGAUUAGAGGGACCCUAGGAAAUGGAGAGUAUGCUUCAGGGAGGUUUCACUCUGCAGAGUAUCUCCCCCGUCGCAUGGCGUGUUGGAUUACGCUUCGCUCGGGGACUUGGACUAGGUGGUUGAGAUGGAGAUGUCAACUCCACUAUU
rnacentral:SRP_RNA from 1 species